ensembl:lncRNA
CCCUUCUGUCAGGACAUUAUCCCUCCAUUGUUCUGUCAGAACAUUAUCCCUCCAACCUUCUGUCAGGAAAUUAUCCCUCUAACCUUCUGUCAGGACAAUAUCCAUCUAUCCUUCUGUCAGGACAUUAUCCCCCCAUCCUUCUGUCGGGACAUUAUCCCUCCAUCCUUCUGUCAGGACAUUAUCCCUCUAACCUUCUGUGAGGACAUUAUCCAUCUAUCUGUCUGUCGGGACAUUAUCCCUCUAACCUUCUGUCAGGACAUUAUCCCUCUAACCUUCUGUCAGGACAUUAUCCCUCCAACCUUCUGUCAGGACAUUAUCCCUCUAAACUUCUGUCAGGACAUUAUCCCUCCAUCCUUCUGUCAGGACAUUAUCCCUCUAACCUUCUGUCAGGACAUUACCCCUCUAUCCUUCUGUCAGGACAUUAUCCCUCUAAACUUCUGUCAGGACAUUAUCCCUCUAACCUUCUGUCAGGACAUUAUCCCUCUAACCUUCUGUCAGGACAUUAUCCCUCUAACCUUCUGUCAGGACAUCUUUUCCUUUAUUCUGUCUUUGUUGAAAACAUUUCCCUGUUAGUCUCCACCUGUUGUUUACCAAGCAGGUGACCAAUAGGAUGUGAUUUGAUUUCUCCACGUGGGAGACGUGUAGCACAAGGCACAGCUUAUUUACCUUUUCCUGUGUGCGUGGGGAAAUUACACAGUUCUCCAGUUUUGUGAUUUGCACAAGAUAAUGACUACGAUGUUGCUGUUGAUCCCAAUGGGCGUUAAUAAUGACAUGUUAUUGUCGCUGCGUUCUGUUUUGAACGUUUUGUAUUUAUCAGUGUUAGUUUGUCCGUUGGUCUGUAAUGAAAACACACAGUCUACGUCCUAAAUGACACGGCCCUGGCCAAAGGUGUGUGUGUGUGUGUGUGUGUGUGUGUGUGAUCAUUGUUUGCAUGGGUCCAAAGUGUGUGCACUGAACUUGGUCAAGUUCUGGGCUUUUGGCGGGUGAAAUAAAUGUAGUGUGGUCUUUAAGUUUGGACUGCUUAUUUGUAAUCAGAAGGUUUGGUAUCAUGUCCUGUCAUAUUUAAUUGAUUGGUUUGGUAUCAUGUCCUGUCAUAUUUAAUAGAUUGGUUUGGUAUCAUGUCCUGUCAUAUUUAAUAGAUUGGUUUGGUAUCAUGUCCUGUCAUAUUUAAUAGAUUGGUUUGGUAUCAUGUCCUGUCAUAUUUAAUAGAUUGGUUUGGUAUCAUGUCAUAUUUAAUAGAUUGGUUUGGUAUCAUGUCCUGUCAUAUUUAAUAGAUUGGUUUGGUAUCAUGUCCUGUCAUAUUUAAUAGAUUGGUUUGGUAUCAUGUCCUGUCAUAUUUAAUAGAUUGGUUUGGUAUCAUGUCAUAUUUAAUAGAUUGGUUUGGUAUCAUGUCCUGUCAUAUUUAAUAGGUGGUUUCUGGUGUAUACCAAGAGCUGCCAUCAAGAAGGCCUACAAUACAGUCAGUCAGAGUCGGCAGGAAUCAGAGGAGUAAACAGGCAUAAAUAUUGAAUGAACCUGAUUCUGUUGUCUGUCUGCAACCUUCUCAAAGCGUUUUCCAAGACCGCUUCUAUCCAGAACAUUGUAAUGGUGAAAAUAUAUCCAUGUUAUAAGUGUAGCUGCUACAUUCCCUUCCAACAAUAAAAUGGCAGAGGAAACGUGUGUUCUUGACUGUUUAUUUGGUGCCUUUUCCAAGUAUACUGUUUGUACAGUGACAACAACAAACCUUUGGCAACACCUCGUUUUGUGUCUUUUCUCAGAAGACUACAGUCAUGUCUUACCAGCCGACCUCAGAAUGUUAGUCACAGUCACAAGUCUGUGGUUGCAUCCUAAAUGGCUCCC